ACGGCUCAGUAACACGUGGAUAACCUGCCCUAAGGAAGGGGAUAACCCCGGGAAACUGGGGAUAAUACCCUAUAGGUUAUAGAUGCUGGAAUGCUCUGUAACUCAAAGUUCCGGCGCCUUAGGAUGGAUCUGCGGCCGAUUAGGUUGUUGUUGGGGUAAUGGCCCAACAAGCCUGUAAUCGGUACGGGUUGUGGGAGCAAGAGCCCGGAGUUGGAUUCUGAGACACGAAUCCAGGCCCUACGGGGCGCAGCAGGCGCGAAAACUUUACAAUGCGGGCAACCGUGAUAAGGGAACCUCGAGUGCCUGUAUAUGCAGGCUGUCCAGGUGUCUAAAACACACCUGAAGAAAGGGCCGGGCAAGACCGGUGCCAGCCGCCGCGGUAAUACCGGCGGCUCGAGUGGUGGCCACUUUUAUUGGGCUUAAAGCGUUCGUAGCUGGGUUGUUAAGUCUCUUGGGAAAUCUGGCGGCUUAACCGUCAGGCGUCUAAGGGAUACUGGCAAUCUUGGAACCGGGAGAGGUGAGGGGUACUUCGGGGGUAGGAGUGAAAUCCUGUAAUCCUCGAGGGACCACCUGUGGCGAAGGCGCCUCACCAGAACGGCUUCGACAGUGAGGGACGAAAGCUGGGGGAGCAAACCGGAUUAGAUACCCGGGUAGUCCCAGCCGUAAACGAUGUGCGUUAGGUGUAUCGACGACCACGAGUCGUCGAGGUGCCGAAGGGAAACCGUGAAACGUACCGCCUGGGAAGUACGGUCGCAAGGCUGAAACUUAAAGGAAUUGGCGGGGGAG
rnacentral:rRNA from 1 species